rnacentral:rRNA from 1 species
AGAAUCAACGCUGGCGGCGUGCCUAACACAUGCAAGUCGAACGCGAAAGUCCCGCAAGGGAUAAGUAGAGUGGCAAACGGGUGAGUAACACGUGGGUGACCUGCCUUCGAGUGGGGGAUAACGUCCCGAAAGGGACGCUAAUACCGCAUAACAUCCUGCUUUUGAACAGGUGGAGAUCAAAGCUGGGGACCCGCAAGGGCCUGGCGCUUGAAGAGGGGCCCGCGUCUGAUUAGCUAGUUGGUGGGGUAACGGCUCACCAAGGCAACGAUCAGUA